AGAGUUUGAUCCUGGCUCAGAUUGAACGCUGGCGGUAUGCUUAACACAUGCAAGUCGAACGGUAACGAAGCUAGCUUGCUAGCAGGCGACGAGUGGCGGACGGGUGAGUAACGCGUGGGAAUCUACCUAGUAGUGGGGGAUAGCCAGAAGAAAUUCUGAUUAAUACCGCAUACGCCCUACGGGGGAAAGAGGCCCUCUUCUUGAAAGGUCUCACUAUUAGAUGAGCCCGCGUUAGAUUAGCUAGAUGGUGAGGUAAGAGCUCACCAUGGCAACGAUCUAUAACUGGUCUGAGAGGAUGACCAGUCACAUUGGGACUGAGACACGGCCCAGACUCCUACGGGAGGCAGCAGUGGGGAAUAUUGGACAAUGGGCGCAAGCCUGAUCCAGCAAUACCGCGUGUGUGAAGAAGGCCUUAGGGUUGUAAAGCACUUUUAUGAGUGAAGAAGGGUUAGUAAUUAAUACUUGCUAGCAUUGACGGUAACUCACGAAUAAGCACCGGCUAACUCCGUGCCAGCAGCCGCGGUAAU
rnacentral:rRNA from 1 species